rnacentral:rRNA from 1 species
UACGUAGGGUGCGAGCGUUGUCCGGAAUUAUUGGGCGUAAAGAGCUCGUAGGCGGUCUGUCGCGUCGGUCGUGAAAACUUGGGGCUUAACCCUGAGCUUGCGGUCGAUACGGGCAUGACUUGAGUACUGCAGGGGAGACUGGAAUUCCUGGUGUAGCGGUGAAAUGCGCAGAUAUCAGGAGGAACACCGGUGGCGAAGGCGGGUCUCUGGGCAGUAACUGACGCUGAGGAACGAAAGCGUGGGUAGCGAACAGG